GGUGGCUCAGUUGGUAGAGCUCUUGCCUUGCAUGCAUGACGCCCUGGGUUCGAUUCCUCAGCACCA
rnacentral:tRNA from 1 species